GUUAUCUGGUUAACUAGUUUCCCUGAGAGCAGGCCUUGUUAAGAACAGAGUGCUCUGGUAUAUUUCAAAUGGCUCCUUUUCCCCUCCCCCUCGGAAGCCCAAGGGGAUUCUGCUCAGAUAUUUACUGUGAGAACUCCACCAAGUUCUUGGAGGUAAAACUCACAUAAGUUUGGGGCCCUCCCUAAGACUUGGUCCCCCUGAAGUUUUUAACUUUCAGACUUGUCCACAUUGAGUCUUCUUUAAUUCAUUAAUCACAGUGCAGGUUUUCCUCCCCCUGCACUGGUUCCCACAGCAGUAUCCACUGAAGACUGCUCAGCUUGGAGGUGGAGAAAAGUGCCAGGGACAAGGCCAUGAAGAAUUUGUUUGGUGCCAGCCACAGGGGUGAAGGUGAGGUGAAGCCACACAUUCUUCAUCUCCAAGGAGCCAGGGUCCAGGAAGAGUCCAAGACCGGGCAUCCUCAUGCCACCCAAAUUGUUGGUUUUUGUUGUUGAAGAUGUAGAAGAGGUUUCAGCGAACAUCAGCUUUUUUUCCUGUCUGACCAGCACACCUUUCUUUGGAGAACUACCCCUCUCCCAAUCCAGGUGGCCCAGUGUUUCAUUGGUUCGAAUCCUGGGUGCAGACAUGGCAUUGCUCAUCAAGCCACGCUGAGGCAGCGUCCCACAUGCCACAACUAGAAGGACCCACAACGAAGGAUAUACAACUAUGCACCGGGGGGCUUUGGGGAGAAAAAGGAAAAAACAAAAUCUUU
rnacentral:lncRNA from 1 species